rnacentral:rRNA from 1 species
AUGCACGCUGGCGGCGUGCUUAACACAUGCACGUCGCACGGGAAAUAUUUCAUUGAGACUUCGGUGGAUUUGAUUUAUUUCUAGUGGCGGACGGGUGAGUAACGCGUGGGUAACCUGCCUUAUACAGGGGGAUAACAGUCAGAAAUGGCUGCUAAUACCGCAUAAGCGCACAGAGCUGCAUGGCUCAGUGUGAAAAACUCCGGUGGUAUAAGAUGGACCCGCGUUGGAUUAGCUAGUUGGUGGGGUAACGGCCCACCAAGGCGACGAUCCAUAGCCGGCCUGAGAGGAUGAACGGCGACGUUGGAAGUGAGACACGGCCCGGAAUCCUACGAGAGGCAGCAGUGGGGAAUAUUGCACAAUGGAGGAAACCCUGAUGCAGCGACGCCACGUGAAGGAAGAAGUAUCUCAGUAUGUAAACUUCUAUCAGCAGGGAAGGUAGUGACGGUACCUGACUAAAAAGCCCCGGCUAACUACGUG